rnacentral:lncRNA from 1 species
GUAGUCUAUAUUGGUGGGUCUGAGGAGAGGAUGUGUCCCAUGUCUAGAUUGCUGCCAUGCUUAACCCAGAAGGAAGUCCCUGGACAAAUGUUUUUUAAUAUCAAGAAAGAGGUCCCAUCUGGUGAAAUGUCAUUCAUAAGGACUUAGACUUACACUUAUUACAGACCAUAAACUUGAAUCUAGAAAUCCUGACUCUCAGGUGAUAUGUUAGUAUUUCCUCCAAUGGAGUCACAACGUCAUGCUGACCUCAGAGUCUUGGUCAAGUCAGCACUGCCAAAAUCAACCAUUGUUGGUAGCCAUCCAGGAUGGAUCCCUCCAGAUCAAAGGAUGGAGAGCAGUAUGCUGUUUGGAGAGCCACCAACAGACUUUGGAAGGAUUAUUUGGAAUCUCUUAUGAAGAUAAGGCAAUGAAGACAUUCUUCAGUGAAUGUUUUCAACUAUUACCCAUGGCACGCAAUCUGAGGCAAACUACAGUCAUUCCAACUCACAAUGGGCAGAUGAGCAUGAUACAGAAUCUGAAGAUGAUGAAACCCUUACUGAAACCUCCUGUUUUAGUGGAAAAAGAAUCAUGUAACUGGUCCACACUUUCAUCUUGAAAAUCUGGAAUAAUAAAUAUACUCCAGAUGUCCUUGAUUGUGGGAAA